rnacentral:lncRNA from 1 species
ACACACAACACACCAGACAACUGAAAAUACGACACGGACUCACACGGUCAAAAUACAACGCCAGGUUCACUCACUGACACUUGAACACACACGCUCACACAUUCACUCUGAACUGGUCAUUAUUCUAGCUGUAAAUCAACACGGAGAUGGAGCACACAGUCACACACACACACAGAGACAUGACCGCUAAGGAUCAGGAGACCAGUAAGUAACGAUCGAUUGCCCCCUCCUCCAAACACAUAGAAUGAUUUAGAUGGAGAGAGGGAGACCUGGAAGAAAGGCUUAGCCUUCCCUUGCCGAUAAGACUUGCCUUCUUU